rnacentral:rRNA from 1 species
GACGAACGCUGGCGGCGUGCCUAAUACAUGCAAGUCGAACGGUCUUUUCUAUGGAAGCUUGCUUCCACUGAGAAGAUAGUGGCGAACGGGUGAGUAACACGUGGGUAACCUGCCCAUAAGAGGGGGAUAACAUCCGGAAACGGGUGCUAAUACCGCAUAGUUUUCUUGAUCGCAUGAUUGAGAAAGGAAAGACGGCCUUUGUGCUGUCGCUUAUGGAUGGACCCGCGGCGUAUUAGUUAGUUGGUGAGGUAACGGCUCACCAAGACGAUGAUACGUAGCCGACCUGAGAGGGUGAUCGGCCACAUUGGGACUGAGACACGGCCCAAACUCCUACGGGAGGCAGCAGUAGGGAAUCUUCCGCAAUGGACGAAAGUCUGACGGAGCAACGCCGCGUGAGUGAAGAAGGUUUUCGGAUCGUAAAACUCUGUUGUCAGAGAAGAACAAGUUGGAGAGUAACUGCUCCAGCCUUGACGGUAUCUGACCAGAAAGCCACGGCUAACUACGUG